GAUGAACGCUGGCGGCGUGCCUAAUACAUGCAAGUCGAGCGAACAGACGAGGAGCUUGCUCCUCUGACGUUAGCGGCGGACGGGUGAGUAACACGUGGAUACCCUACCUAUAAGACUGGGAUAACUUCGGGAAACCGGAGCUAAUACCGGAUAAUAUAUUGAACCGCAUGGUUCAAUAGUGAAAGACGGUUUUGCUGUCACUUAUAGAUGGAUCCGCGCCGCAUUAGCUAGUUGGUAAGGUAACGGCUUACCAAGGCGACGAUGCGUAGCCGACGUGAGAGGGUGAUCGGCCACACUGGAACUGAGACACGGUCCAGACGCCUACGGGAGGCAGCAGUAGGGAACCUUCCGCAAUGGUCGAAAGCCUGACGGAGCAACGCCGCGUGAGUGAUGAAGGUCUUCGGAUCGUAAAACUCUGUUAUUAGGGAAGAACAAAUGUGUAAGUAACUAUGCACGUCUUGACGGUACCUAAUCAGAAAGCCACGGCUAACUACGUG
rnacentral:rRNA from 1 species